ACCUGCGGAGGGAUCAUUAAAGAGUGUAAUAACUCCCAAACCCGUGUGAACGUACCUAUCGUUGCCUCGGCGGAGAGAGGAAUGCCCAUAGCAGGCUACCCGGUACAUGCUACCCGGUAGUCCGGACACCCUCCCGCCGCCGCUGGCUCGCGAAACUCUGCUGUAUUUGGAACUCUGAAUGCUAAAACAAAUAAGUUAAAACUUUCAACAACGGAUCUCUUGGUUCUGGCAUCGAUGAAGAACGCAGCGAAAUGCGAUAAGUAAUGUGAAUUGCAGAAUUCAGUGAAUCAUCGAAUCUUUGAACGCACAUUGCGCCCAUUAGUAUUCUAGUGGGCAUGCCUGUUCGAGCGUCAUUUCAACCCCUAAGCCCUGCCGCUUAGCGUUGGGAGCCCGCCGGCCCAGUGCCCGCGGCCCCCUAAAAUCAGUGGCGGAGUCAGCACACUCUCCAGGCGUAGUAAUUACAUCUCGCCUCUGUGGAUGCGCUGGCGCCUGCCGUUAAACCCCCCAAUUUUAUACUGGUUGACCUCGGAUCAGGUAGGAAUACCCGCUGAACUUAAGCAUAUCAU
rnacentral:rRNA from 1 species